rnacentral:rRNA from 1 species
AGUGAACGCUGGCGGUAGGCCUAACACAUGCAAGUCGAACGGCAGCACAGUAAGAGCUUGCUCUUACGGGUGGCGAGUGGCGGACGGGUGAGGAAUACAUCGGAAUCUACUUUUUCGUGGGGGAUAACGUAGGGAAACUUACGCUAAUACCGCAUACGACCUACGGGUGAAAGCAGGGGAUCUUCGGACCUUGCGCGAUUGAAUGAGCCGAUGUCGGAUUAGCUAGUUGGCGGGGUAAAGGCCCACCAAGGCGACGAUCCGUAGCUGGCCUGAGAGGAUGAUCAGCCACACUGGAACUGAGACACGGUCCAGACUCCUACGGGAGGCAGCAGUGGGGAAUAUUGGACAAUGGGCGCAAGCCUGAUCCAGCCAUACCGCGUGGGUGAAGAAGGCCUUCGGGUUGUAAGGCCCUUUUGUUGGGAAAGAAAAGCAGCAGGUUAAUACCCCGCUGUUCUGACGGUACCCAAAGAAUAAGCACCGGCUAACUUCGUG